UGGGGAAUAUUGCACAAUGGGCGCAAGCCUGAUGCAGCCAUGCCGCGUGUGUGAAGAAGGCCUUCGGGUUGUAAAGCACUUUCAGCGGGGAGGAAGGCGUUAAGGUUAAUAACCUUGGCGAUUGACGUUACCCGCAGAAGAAGCACCGGCUAACUCCGUGCCAGCAGCCGCGGUAAUACGGAGGGUGCAAGCAUUAAUCGGAAUUACUGGGCGUAAAGCGCACGCAGGCGGUUUGUUAAGUCAGAUGUGAAAUCCCCGGGCUCAACCUGGGAACUGCAUCUGAUACUGGCAAGCUUGAGUCUCGUAGAGGGGGGUAGAAUUCCAGGUGUAGCGAUGAAAUGCGUAGAGAUCUGGAGGAAUACCGGUGGCGAAGGCGGCCCCCUGGACGAAGACUGACGCUCAGGUGCGAAAGCGUGGGGAGCAAACAGG
rnacentral:rRNA from 1 species